AUUCACUCAUUCAUUCAGCCAAGGUCAACUAGUGUCAAGCGUUGUUCUAGCCGCUGGGACACAGCAGUGAACAAAACUGACAAAACAAGCCUGUGGCCUAGGGGAGGGGAGACAAUGAACAACAUAAAUGAGGAGAAGGCCGGCACGUGUGAUGGUGAUGAGUGGUAAGGAAGAGAGAAGGCAGGUGAGGAAGAGGGAGUGUUCCGGGAAGGUUGCAAGUUUAGACAAUGUGGCCAGGGAGGGCCUGGCCAUACCAAACAAUUGACUAAACCUGACGAUGCUGAUGGAGGAAGCGUGUGGACCCUGGGGGAAAGGCCAGCAUCUGCCAAGGCCCUGAAGCAGGAACAUGGUGUGCUGGGGGGACAGUGGGGGGACAGGGCUGGAGGUCAGGGGUGGUGGGGUAGACAGCGGGAGGUUGGAGGUCAUGGAUAAGGCCAGAUCCUGAAGGGCCUUGAAGCACAGAGUAAUGACUUGGGAUUUUCCUUAAGGAGGUGAUAUCGUGGGUUGAAUUCUUGCCCCCAAAAAAGCCAUGUUCGCAUCCUAACCCCUGGAACGUGUGAAUGCGACUUUAUUUGGAAAAGGAAUCUGUGGAUGAAAUUAAAUUAAGGAUCUCAAGAUGAGAUCAUCCUGUGUUAUCCAGGUGGGCCUUAAAUCCAAUCACAGGUGUUUCUGUAAGAGACACACAGUGGAGAAGAGAAGGCCACGUGAAGGCUGAGGCAGGGAUGGGCGUGGUGCUGCCACCAGCGGGGGAACGCCAGGAACUGGAAGAGGCAAAGAAGGACCCUCUGAGGGCGCAGGGUCCUGCUGACACCUCAACUUCAGACUUCUGGCCUCCAGGGCUGUGAGAGGAGACUUUUCAAGCCAUCCAGUUUGUGGUCAUUUGCUAUGACUGCCCUGGGAAACUGAUCCUGAUGGGAAGCCCUUGGAAGCUCUUGAGCGGAGGAGGGACAUGCUCUCCUGGGCUUACUCCUAGCUGCAUAGGAGAGUCUGAGCCGGGCAGGGACAGAGCUGUCGGGGAGUCACUACGGUGAUGCAGCUCCCGUGGAGGAAGGGGCUGGCAGCACCCAAGAACACAAGCACAGAUGGAGGCGUCCCUCUCCAGUGGCUGGGGCAGGCUCUGAUUCCGCCUCCUGCAUUUGGAGCAGCUGUAAGCUAUCAGGGCCUGGCUGGCUGGCUCCAGGCCUCCCAACGUAACCAGCCUGCCCUGCUAUCCUGGCCUGAGGCUGGCAUUCCUCCCAUGGUCUCUGCAGCACUCAUCAUCGGCGCUCCUGCCACAGCAUGGGGACCUGGGCAGCCUGAUGGACAAAUAUUGGGCAGGGAGGUAGGGAGAUGCAGUUUCCUGGA
rnacentral:lncRNA from 10 species